AAAUGCACUCUCGGACCCGGCCGUUGAAAGAGGUUUUUCCCCGUUCGGGGCAGAUGUGUAGGUGCUGCAGUGGUUGUCGUCAGCUCGUGCCGUGAGGUGUCGGCUUAAGUGCCAUAACGAGCGCAACCCUCAUCAUUAGUUACCAUCAGGUAAGGCUGGGGACUCUAAUGAGACUGCCAUCGUAAGAUGUGAGGAAGGUGGGGAUGACGUCAAAUCAGCACGGCCCUUACGUCCGGGGCGACACACGUGUUACAAUGGGUGGUACAAAGGGCAGCUACCUGGCGACAGGAUGCUAAUCUCCAAAACCACUCUCAGUUCGGAUCGGAGUCUGCAACUCGACUCCGUGAAGCUGGAUUCGCUAGUAAUCGCGCAUCAGCCACGGCGCGGUGAAUACGUUCCCGGGCCUU
rnacentral:rRNA from 1 species